ensembl:snoRNA SNORD116 Small nucleolar RNA SNORD116
GGAUCGAUGAUGAUUCCUAGUCAAACAUUCCUUGGAAAAGCUGAACAAAAUGAGUGAAAACUCAAUACCACCUCUCUCAUCGGGACUGAGGUCC